rnacentral:tRNA from 1 species
GGGGGUUUAGCUCAGCGGUUAGAGCAGGACGCUCAUAACGUCUUGGUCGGGGGUUCAAAUCCCUCAACCCCCACCA